GCACAGCCCACCCCCUCCUGUCUUGCCAGCUCCGCCUCCCUGAUUCUCUACUCGGUUUCUCACCGCACCAUCCCCCCCCCGCCCCCGCCAUUCAGAUUUCUCUGAUCUUUAUUUACAGCACCUCCCCAUGUUCCCCCAGCUCCCCCAAGCAUUGUCGUCUUCCGUCCACGCCCUUCACCUGCCCUCCAUCUCCACCCUCCCCCCAUUCCUCCUCCUCCGCCCCAUACCACUGCUCUGUUCCCUUCACUUGCAUUCGUUCCUUACCCACACGGGUAUCCCCAGUUCCGCUCUUCUCCCUGACUUGAACUACAGCCCCACCUGCUUAGGACCUGCCUCGGGACCUUACUUCACUCACUCACUCCUAACAUUCCAAAAGCUUUCAUCCUUGAGUCUAGUGCCCUGAAUCCAGGACACUCCUUUCCCAGGGAUACUCCUCACUCCAGAAUAUCCUGGGUGGGGGUGGGUUUCAGAAGCCCAAGGUACUGGAUCAGAGUUGUCAGGAAUACGCUUCGGCAUUUGGCACACAGUUCUUCAGCCUCACUUCCCUUCCCUGAAGCUGGUGUUCGGGAUGGGCUCUGUCACCAGCUUAGUUAGGUGACUUUGAUUCUGCCUAUAUGGUUUUUACAACCCAUCUGACACUCCCCUCUCAUCCCCCAGGUUGAGGCCCCCAGCUUGGCCUCACCACGAUGUGGCACGAGGCUCGGAAGCAUGAGCGGAAGCUUCGAGGCAUGAUGGUUGACUACAAGAAGAGGGCAGAGCGGCGGCGGGAGUACUAUGAAAAGAUCAAGAAGGACCCAGCGCAGUUCCUGCAGGUGCACGGCCGAGCAUGCAAGGUGCACCUGGACUCCGCAGUCGCCCUGGCCGCCGAGAGCCCCGUCAACAUGAUGCCCUGGCAGGGGGACACCAACAACAUGAUUGACCGCUUCGAUGUCCGCGCCCACCUUGAUCACAUCCCCGACUACACGCCCCCGCUGCUUACCACCAUCUCCCCAGAACAGGAGUCAGAUGAGCGGAAAUGUAACUACGAGCGCUACCGAGGCCUGGUGCAGAACGACUUCGCUGGCAUCUCGGAGGAGCAGUGUCUGUACCAGAUCUACAUUGACGAGCUGUACGGAGGCCUCCAGAGACCCAGUGAGGAUGAGAAGAAGAAGCUGGCGGAGAAGAAGGCCUCCAUUGGCUACACCUAUGAAGACAGCACCGUGGCCGAGGUAGAGAAGGCGGCGGAGAAGCCGGAGGAGGAGGAGUCACCAGCCGAGGAGGAGAGCAACUCGGACGAAGAUGAGGUCAUCCCCGACAUCGACGUGGAGGUGGAUGUGGACGAACUGAACCAGGAACAGGUGGCGGAUCUCAACAAGCAGGCCACCACCUACGGCAUGGCCGACGGCGACUUCGUCAGGAUGCUCCGGAAAGACAAGGAGGAGGCAGAGGCUAUCAAGCAUGCCAAGGCCCUUGAGGAAGAGAAGGCCAUGUACUCGGGCCGCCGCUCCCGGCGCCAGCGGAGGGAGUUCCGGGAGAAGCGACUGAGGGGCCGGAAGAUCAGCCCACCCAGCUAUGCCCGCCGAGACAGCCCCACCUACGAUCCCUAUAAGCGGUCACCCUCUGAGUCCAGCUCCGAGUCCCGCUCCCGUUCCCGCUCCCCGACCCCAGGCCGUGAGGAGAAGAUCACGUUCAUCACCAGUUUUGGGGGCAGCGAUGAGGAGGCAGCUGCGGCCGCAGCGGCAGCAGCCGCAUCAGGGGCCACCACAGGGAAGCCCCCCGCACCCCCCCAGCCCGGCGGCCCCGCACCGGGACGUAAUGCCAGCGCCCGCCGCCGCUCCUCCUCUUCCUCCUCCUCCUCCUCUUCCGCCUCGAGGACCUCCAGCUCCCGCUCCAGCUCCCGUUCCAGCUCCCGCUCCCGCCGAGGCGGGGGCUACUACCGCUCAGGCCGCCAUGCGCGCUCCCGCUCCCGGUCCUGGUCUCGCUCUCGGUCCCGUUCCCGGCGCUAUUCGCGCUCCCGGAGCCGUGGCCGGCGGCACUCUGGCGGGGGCUCCCGAGAUGGACACCGGUACUCGCGCUCGCCUGCCCGGCGCGGUGGUUAUGGGCCCCGGCGCAGAAGCAGGAGCCGCUCCCGCUCCGGGGACCGGUACCGGCGGGGCGGCCGGGGUCCCCGGCACCACAGCAGUAGCCGCAGCCGCAGCAGCUGGUCCCUCAGCCCGUCCCGCAGCCGCAGCCUGAGCCGUAGCCGCAGCCCCAGCCCCAGCCGUAGCCGCAGCCGCAGCCCCAGCCGCAGCCGCAGCCGCAGCCAGAGCCGCUCGCCAUCGCCCCCGAGGGAGAAGCUGACCAGGCCGGCAGCGUCCCCCGCUGUGGGCGAGAAGCUGAAAAAGACCGAACCUGCCGCUGGUAAAGAGACAGGAGCUGCCAAAGUCACCCAAGCUGACACCACAGGAGAAGCUGAAGCUGAGGAUGCAGAAAGCGCUGAACAGGCAGUUCAAGGCGGAUAAGAAGGCAGCCCAGGAGAAGAUGAUCCAGCAGGAGCAUGAGCGGCAGGAGCGGGAAGACGAGCUUCGAGCCAUGGCCCGCAAGAUCCGCAUGAAGGAGCGGGAACGUAGAGAGAAGGAGCGAGAAGAAUGGGAACGCCAGUACAGCCGACAGAGCCGCUCACCCUCCCCCCGUUACAGUCGAGAAUACAGCUCUUCCCGAAGGCGCUCAAGGUCCCGAUCUCGAAGUCCCCAUUAUCGACAUUAGGCAGAAGUGUGGGGGGCAGGGGGAUGGGGGGGGUGAGGGCUCAGGCUGUGAU